rnacentral:rRNA from 1 species
UGACCGCUGGCGGCGUGCCUAAUACAUGCAAGUCGCGCGAACAGACGAGGAGCUUGCUCCUCUGACGUUAGCGGCGGACGGGUGAGUAACACGUGGAUAACCUACCUAUAAGACUGGGAUAACUUCGGGAAACCGGAGCUAAUACCGGAUAAUAUAUUGAACCGCAUGGUUCAAUAGUGAAAGACGGUUUUGCUGUCACUUAUAGAUGGAUCCGCGCCGCAUUAGCUAGUUGGUAAGGUAACGGCUUACCAAGGCAACGAUGCGUAGCCGACCUGAGAGGGUGAUCGGCCACACUGGAACUGAGACACGGUCCAGACUCCUACGGGAGGCAGCAGUAGGGAAUCUUCCGCAAUGGGCGAAAGCCUGACGGAGCAACGCCGCGUGAGUGAUGAAGGUCUUCGGAUCGUAAAACUCUGUUAUUAGGGAAGAACAAAUGUGUAAGUAACUAUGCACGUCUUGACGGUACCUAAUCAGAAAGCCACGGCUAACUACGUG